rnacentral:rRNA from 1 species
GACGAACGCUGGCGGCGUGCUUAACACAUGCAAGUCGAGCGGUAAGGCCCUUUCGGGGUACGACGAGCGGCGAACGGGUGAGUAACACGUGGGUGACCUGCCCUCCAGCUCUGGGAUAAGCCUGGGAAACCGGGUCUAAUACUGGAUAUGACUCCAUGACGCAUGUUGUGGGGUGGAAAGCCUUGUGCGGCUGAGGAUGGGCCCGCGGCCUAUCAGCUUGUUGGUGGGGUGANGGCCUACCAAGGCGACGACGGGUAGCCGGCCUGAGAGGGCGACCGGCCACACUGGGACUGAGACACGGCCCAGACUCCUACGGGAGGCAGCAGUGGGGAAUCUUGCGCAA